rnacentral:rRNA from 1 species
ACUAGCAGUAAGAAGUUGUAUCAUGGCGUCAGAACGAACGCUGGCGGCGCGCCUAACACAUGCAAGUCGGACACACGGGGUCCUUCGGGGCGCCAUGAGUGGCGGACGGGUGAGUAACACGUGGGAACCUGCCCUGGGGUCCGGGAUAGCUGCGGGAAACUGCAGGUAACACCGGAUACGCACGGGAGUGGAAAAUUCAUGCCCUGGGAUGGGCCCGCGUCGGAUUAGGUAGACGGUGGGGUAGUGGCCUACCGUGCCUGCGAUCCGUAGCCGGUCUGAGAGGACGAUCGGCCACACUGGGACUGAGACACGGCCCAGACUCCUACGGGAGGCAGCAGUCGGGAAUUUUGCCCAAUGGACGAAAGUCUGAGGCAGCAACUCCGCGUGAGGGAUGAAGGCUCUCGGGUCGUAAACCUCUUUUCUCAGGGAAGAUUCAAGACGGUACCUGAGGAAUAAGCCACGGCUAACUACGUGCCAGCCGCCGCGGUAAUUC